rnacentral:snRNA from 1 species
CCAGGUGCAAUAAAUCUUUCGCCUUUUACUAAAGAUUUCCGUGG